GAUUAAUUGAUUGAUAAAUGGGUUUAUAAAUUACUUAAUACAACAAUUAAACAAUUUGAAACGCAGUGAGCAUGUAGUGCUUUCUAAGUGACAUAAUUGCUUCAAGUUAAUUGUGCAAAUAACGUGAUCUUAAUGCUAAAUACGAAAAUGGAAAUAUAGCUGGAUGCAACGCGUGUACGCGAAUAGUGAAACAAGGAAGAGGAGGACCUAAUCGAGUGAAAGCUAAGGUCAUAAGGCCAAUAAACGUUCCCGGACGAGCCGAUAAGCUGCAUAAUAGCAAAAUACCAAUUGCGUUUCACUACUUUCCUUUUUCUUACCUAGUAUCUGAAUACUACGUACACCGUGGUAUCACGUGUAACCGAUCGUGCAUGGACGUCGAACGGUUCAAUUGAAUUAAAGAGUCAAUUAUGUAGUCUAUGACGCUGGUUUCCGACGGAAGUCAUCAGUUCAAUGCAAAUUACAACCAUCACACAAAGUAUCAAAAACAUCUGUAACUUGAAUAAAAAAAUUUCCUUGUACAAUUGCACAUUUAAUUGGAAUAAUUUAUUCCCGAUGUUUGAAUCGAUGUUAGAGAAACUUAGAUGUACAACGAAGAUAACUGUCAAUUAAAUCUGAUGGAAGAGCAAAUUCAUUUAAGGAUAACACACUUCCCACGGAUAUUUGUAGUCGGCUCGCCGUUAUAAUUAAUGUUAUACAUUGUACGGCCAUUUUGAACUAUACAAAUUAAAGACAAAAGAAGAAAAUUAUGUAACGAAUAAACGAUGGGUAAUGGAACAAAAGUGGUGACUGAAGGAAUUGACGUUCGACAAUAAAGGUUCUGAUACACACUUUUACUUGCGCAAGCGGCUGUUAAAAUUUUAAUACCCGUAUUACGGAAUAAUGAGCACGCCGUAAUUCGAUUGCGUACGCGGUGUGUGACUUACGGUCACUCCCCACACGAGUCGUAUUUCAAAACAAGAACGAGUGCAAGACGAGUUCGCGGAAUGUGUAUUAUCUACAAGUAUCUUCUAGAAGCAAUCCUGGAUGCGGCAGGAAUUUCCUUCAUCGACCUCGUCACACUGAUUUUGCGAAAUUUGGAGAGAAACAAGCGUGAAGGGAACGAGACGUAGAAGGCAACGAUUCACUUCAAAUUACGGUAGAACGAUAAACUACAGAAAUAAAUUAUCAACAUCGAAAUUUGUACAAGCAAUUUCUAUACAAUACAAAUGUGAAUAUUCCGCAAUAAUCGUCGAGUCAUUUACAGAACACAAUACUGUUUAUCUGCAAAAUUUAUCGAAUUUGAGGUUACGUAUUUACUGGACGCUAAAAAUUAGCUGUUAUUAAAUCUUUUUUCUAACGGCUGAAGAAAGUGUGUGCGCAUCAUUUGACAGGGAAAGGAAACUGCAGGAACUUUCAACAUUUUUUGCUAUGGAUGUCUUAAACUUCAGCUUAGAUUCUGCUGUGUUUCAUAAACUGCAACAUGAGCUGCGAUAGUUGCGGAAAAUUAGAACGCUACGACAUUUAACAUUAAGAUAUUGGAUUUGCAUAAUAAACUGGUAACAUUUCACGUAUUCGUGCUGCUAAUGGAAUUGAAAUUAAUCGUACAUUAAUAUAAAUUAAUGUAUAAAUAUAUGCAAGCUUCUGGAUCCUUGUAUCCUUAGGCUACUAUCAAUAUUCCUAUGUGUAGAUACUUAUAUCUCAAUUCCUCUAUACUCUGUAUAUAUCUAUACCUCUGUACUUGACAUAACCUCAGGUUCCUACAUACAGAGAUGUAUCUGCAUACAUGUAUAUGCAUAUGUAUAUGUAUAUAUCUCUAUACCUAGGUUUUCUCUAUAUCCUAAGUGUGCUAUACUCCCCUAUAUAUUCUAGAUAUCUCAUAAAUACCCCUAGUUAAUACUCCUGUUAAUAAAUAAGAAAGCAAAUGUACAGGAUUUCGCAGUGGAAAAAGAAGAUCCCUAAUGAAUCACCAGCUUAUCGAGUACAAGAUAAAAAGGCGGGAACGAAUCUGAAUAAGAACAAGCAAGAUCGAGUCCCGACAUGCAUACAACGAAUUAAUGAAAUCGAAGAUAAAACAGGAGAAAUAAGAGUAAGAAGAAGAAGAGUAGGAGGUCGAGAGGUGAGUAAGAGUGCGUCAGACAGUAUGAAUCGAGGGGAAAGCGGGCACGAGUGCGUUAGCGUCGUGAAAGGAAGAAGGAGUAAACGAAAGCGGGCUCUCUCUCACGUUCUUACGCAGCUGAGAAGAUGCUCUCGUAAGAAAUCGUGUGUACGUAAAUACGUGCGUGUGUGGCUGAGAAACCCUGGAAAACACAUCGCGAAAGAGCGUAGAGGGGAGAGUUCGACGCGGGAUACACCAACAUCGAGGAGGGAGGAGGAAGGGAGUCGUCUGCCAGCAGGCAACUUUCACAUGGUCAUUGCACCACGUGAGCCUCUUUUCGGCUUCCUGUAACUCCCGAGGAUCUGUACGUAUCAGCGAAAAAGAAGUAAAAAGUGAGACACGAGGCGACCGGCUUCAUUCAAAGGUCAUUCCUCGACCUCCUUCGAAAAAAUCAGAACAAAUUUCGAACUGCUCUCCUUGUUCCUUCACGUUGCUUUCUCCUUUUGCCUGCGACCGAUGGGAAUCGGUUCCUUGAUUAGAUGCAGGAUAUUAGAGCAUCGGUGAAAUCGUUAUUGGAGCUAACUCCAUUUGGAAGGUUAUGUAGCAGAACUCUACCUUCAUUAUUCUCACUAGGGAACAUCUAAACACCUAGGAUCUGGAGAUAUAGAGGGAUACACCGAGGCUAUAUGGAUCCAAGGAUGUACGCAUUUGAACUUACAAUCCAUCGCUCCUCGAAGUUCAUUUACCUCGACCCAUCUUGCGCCUUUUGUUCCUCUUUUUUAUUAUCGAUUAUACCUUUCACCGAAGUUUUUGCGUAUCGGCAGAUGACCACAAAUUUAAAAGACGAGAAAAAUGGGCUGGAAAGGCGGGCCCAUUUAUCAAAUGUGCACCAUCAUCUUUUUUAAUUGGUACACCGCAGAAGAUGUUCAAUCGAUUCGUACAUGAUUUUCCGUAUUACAACGAAAUGGAAUAAUGUUAACCACUAGACUAUUCGACUAUUGUAACCAUUUCUUUCUGAAAAUGUGCACCGAAUGAAUCCUGUUCAUAUUGUACCCCUAAAAGAAACGUGACCUCGAAAGUUUCUUCCGUGUAUCAAUAAGAUAGCAUGCAACUCAUCUCGUGAAACUCUCUAUAUAACAUCGGUUGUAGAUUUAUCGGUGAACAGGUGCACUUUCUCUUUCACAAAGGAUAUCUAAGGCAUCGAUUACACGCCCUUAAUUGGUUAUCGGCUAAAGAAGGCGAACGAAAAAAGAGAAGUAACACCAGUCAGAAAUAUAAAUUGCGAGCGUUCGGUGGCGUGGAACAUGGCGUUAGAAUAGUAAACUUGUUAGAGAGACGAUAGUCGCGGAAAAGAUUGAUCGUCCGUGUAAGAGGAAGGCGUCGAUUUCCGCGUCUUCUUCGGGAAAGGCGUCGUGACGCAAGCCAGAGAAACUUUCACUAUUCUUUAAACAGCUACUAAUCAAGAUGAAGAGUCUUCCCUCUCUGUCACCGAGAAGCCACUCUCCAUGAACGUCCGAGGUCGGGCUUCGUCGUCGAAUCUUCGCGAUUUACUUUCGUGAAAAUAAGAGUUUGCCGCCGCUCCGGAAAGCAAACAAGCCUAGCCUAGUUUCAAAAUUGCAAGUUUUUACACAA